UGGAGAGUAACGCGACUCACCUCAGUGAAGAUACACACGUGUGUCUGUUGUGUUUCUGCUGCACAUCUUUCCUCUUUCUGACGCUCCUCCACACACUCCUCCACAUCCAGGCGGAUUCACAGCUCCAGUAAAGCUCACACACAGGUCAGCAGUCAAACAUCAGUUCCAGCAGGUGUUCAGACAGGAGAUCUGUGGCUCUGUGGUAAGAGCGCUGCCCCACGGCUUCAGGGGUUGCUGGUAUCGGUCCCAGCCAGAACUCUGCGAUAUGUGUGAAUGGCGGCAUCAGCGAGCUGCUCUUUUAGCCUGAACACCUUUGACAACAGCGCCACAGAUCAUCACAGUUACACCGUUUUACUGGCGUCAAGUUGAGCUCCAGCAGAUGACAGCUCAGUGACAGACUCAUAAUGUCAGUCAACAGCACAUAUUACAGCCCGACAGCGAAGAAAAGCGACCCAGAGAGCAGAAAUGGAGAGUAACGCGACUCACCUCAGUGAAGAUACACACGUGUGUCUGUUGUGUUUCUGCUGCACAUCUUUCCUCUUUCUGACGCUCCUCCACACACUCCUCCACAUCCAGGCGGAUUCACAGCUCCAGUAAAGCUCACACACAGGUCAGCAGUCAAACAUCAGUUCCAGCAGGUGUUCAGACAGGAGAUCUGUGGCUCUGUGGUAAGAGCGCUGCCCCACGGCUUCAGGGGUUGCUGGUAUCGGUCCCAGCCAGAACUCUGCGAUAUGUGUGAAUGGAGAGACUUUCUGUGUAGCAGCAGCUGCCAGUCUGGAUGUAGAUUACACCAGUAUUCAACCAGUUUCCGAUUAGACGGCUGAGAGUACAAGAAACAGCCUUGAGGAUGAAACAGGUCGUUCCCUGUAGAGCGGCACGGCGGCAUCAGCGAGCUGCUCUUUUAGCCUGAACACCUUUGACAACAGCGCCACAGAUCAUCACAGUCAACAGCACAUAUUACAGCCCGACAGUGAAGAAAAGCGACACAAAGUGCAGAAAUGGAGAGUAACGCGACUCACCUCAGUGAAGAUACACACGUGUGUCUGUUGUGUUUCUGCUGCACAUCUUUCCUCUUUCUGACGCUCCUCCACACACUCCUCCACAUCCAGGCGGAUUCACAGCUCCAGUAAAGGUAUUUAUGAGCUCAUAUUUCCAGUAGAGAGUCCAGAAAGUGUGUUUGUUGUGCUGCUGCUCUGUCGCGUGUAUGUUGGGGGAGGGACUUUCUGUAGAAAGCAUCUGAUUGGCCAGAUUUGGUGUAGAGUCCUCAAUACAGUAUGAGGAGACUUUAGAGGUAAAUGAUGAUAUUUACAGUGUUUAAUUGUGUUUAGUGACAUUUAAAGCCCCACAAGCAGCUGUAAGAUCAUUUAAAAUAUGGUUGAUGUGUUUGACUGAAGAAUAAGCAGGUUUUUCACAUUUUGAACAAUGAAAUAAAAUAAUAUAUUAGCAUAUGAUGUAGUUUGAAUGUAUUUUGAAUAAUUUACAUUUGAAAUUAAUUAUUUGUGUUUAUUUAGUUUUUUUUUUCAAAAUGUGUAAAUGUGGUCAUCCUUACACUGGAGAAAGAAGUGUGUGUUUGUGUGUGUGCUGAUGGUGUAGUGGUCAGAGCACACAGCCUGAGAUGUGAAGUUCUCACAGUAUACCUGGGUUCAAAUCUGAGUCCUGUUACUGCUCUUUACUGCUGAUCUAAAUACAAAAAA